rnacentral:rRNA from 1 species
CAGCCGCCGCGGUAAUACGAAGGGGGCUAGCGUUGUUCGGAUUUACUGGGCGUAAAGCGCACGUAGGCGGAUCGAUCAGUCAGGGGUGAAAUCCCAGAGCUCAACUCUGGAACUGCCUUUGAUACUGUCGAUCUGGAGUAUGGAAGAGGUGAGUGGAAUUCCGAGUGUAGAGGUGAAAUUCGUAGAUAUCGGAAGGAACACCAGUGGCGAAGGCGGCUACCUGGAUUGACACUGACACUGAGGCGCGAGAGCGUGGGGAGCAAACAGGAUUAGAGACCCCCGUAGUCCCUGUCUCUUAUAC